rnacentral:rRNA from 1 species
GAUGAACGCUGGCGGCGUGCCUAAUACAUGCAAGUCGAGCGAACGGACGAGAAGCUUGCUUCUCUGAUGUUAGCGGCGGACGGGUGAGUAACACGUGGAUAACCUACCUAUAAGACUGGGAUAACUUCGGGAAACCGUAGCUAAUACCGGAUAAUAUUUUGAACCGCAUGGUUCAAAAGUGAAAGACGGUCUUGCUGUCACUUAUAGAUGGAUCCGCGCUGCAUUAGCUAGUUGGUAAGGUAACGGCUUACCAAGGCAACGAUGCAUAGCCGACCUGAGAGGGUGAACGGCCACACUGGAACUGAGACACGGUCCAGACUCCUACGGGAGGCAGCAGGAGGGAAUCUUCCGCAAUGGGCGGAAGCCUGACGGAGCAACGCCGCGGGAGUGAUGGAGGUCUUCGGAUCGGAAAACUCUGUUAUUAAGGAAGAACAUAUGUGUAAGUAACUGUGCACAUCUUGGCGGUACCUAAUCAGAAAGCCACGGCUAACUACGUG